rnacentral:lncRNA from 1 species
AGGGAAGAUAUGGAAAGUGUGACUUUGACUAUAUACAACCAAGAAAACAAUGGGAAAAUAUAGGCUCGAGAUUUUCUUGGCAAUUAACAUGGAAUAAUUAGGAAGCAUAAUGUGGGAAAAUGAGAACCUGGCAUUUUGCUAAUUGAUCUCAAAUGCCCCGUGAAGAAUGGAGAGUGUGCACCCAUAAUC